UUAAUUGAAACCAAAUAGAGGUAUAUCACUGUUAAUGAUACAAUUGAACACAGUUCCAAUUAAA
rnacentral:tRNA from 1 species